AACGAACGUUAGCGGCGCGCCUAACACAUGCAAGUCGCACGAGAAAGGGCUUCGGCCCCGGUAAAGUGGCGCACGGGUGAGUAACACGUGGGUAAUCUGCCCUCGAGCGGGGGAUAACGGUCCGAAAGGACCGCUAAUACCGCAUAAGACUACGACCUCGAAAGAGGAUGCAGUCAAAGCUGGCCUCUAAUCAUAAGCUAGCACUUGAGGAUGAGCACGCGGCGCAGCAGGUAGUUGGUGAGGUAAUGGCUCACCAAGCCGAAGACGCGUAGCUGGUCUGAGAGGAUGAUCAGCCACACUGGAACUGAGACACGGUCCAGACUCCUACGGGAGGCAGCAGUGGGGAAUCUUGCGCAAUGGGCGAAAGCCUGACGCAGCGACGCCGCGUGAGUGAUGAAGGCCUUCGGGUUGUAAAGCUCUGUGGGGAGAGACGAAUAAGUGCAGUCUAAUACAUUGCAUGAUGACGGUAUCUCCUUAGCAAGCACCGGCUAACUCUGUGCCAGCCGCCGCCGUAACAC
rnacentral:rRNA from 1 species